UAUCUAGGUGCUUCAAUUUGGAUGCUGUUUGUUUUGAUGGACUUCACAGAUGGAUGCAACAUCUCAGCACCUCCAGCUGGUGGUGGCAUGGUCUCCUCACUCCUGCUAGAGAACAUUCUUCUGAGGAGAAGGCAUGGUGGUGGAAAGAAGUUUAAAGCUGAUAUAAUUUGUGGGGUACCUUCCUCUUUGCAAUGGAGUACAAAAAGAAAGUUGAUGAUGAGGUAGAUUCUGUUUCUAGCAAGCAGCUGGGUUUAUGUCAAUGCAUUCGUCUUUAAUUCUAGCUGAUCCUUCCCAGCACUUUAGAUAAGGUGAAAAAGGGUGUUUGCAAUGUUUUUUUCUUUUUUUUAUGCCUAAAGGCUUGUUCUCUGGCUUAUCUGUGGGACAAUUUGGCUGUGAAUUAGAGGUAAUUAGUGCCACCUAUUAACUUCCUCUAGCAAGAAGUUUUGCUUUGUAUCUCUGUCCAUUAAGAUACCCCAGCUCUGAAGACCAAGCAUUGGUGACUCUAUGGAAAACCAGCGAAGAGACUUGCUAUCACCCCUAUAUUCAGCAGUCAUCAGGCGCUCAAAAUACAUUUGACUUGCUAAACGUGCAAAAGUGCUAGCAAAGGAGACACUGCUAUUCACCCAGUGUUAUGGAAUGAUGCUAGUUACAAUGUCCCAAACACUGUUACUUUCCCCACCCACUCUGGCACCACUGCAAAGACCUGGCCAAGUUCCUGAAGGGUCUUGUAAUUUGGUUCAUUAAUACCUAGAUCCAUUGAUGAUCUAGUGUAUAUCCUGUUUAUUUUUUCUUUCUGGAUAACUGCUUUAGGAUCACUCAGAAAUUAGCUGCCUGGCAACAUGAAAGUGCAGAUAUCUAAAUGAACUGCAUGCUUUUCAACUGGUUCCAUAAAUGUAGCCCAAGUAGAGUUGUGGCAAAACAGAUGUCUGGAGACUUUAGUGAGAGUCAAGGCAGAUACUAUCCAGUCUCCCUAAGGAGUAGAGAGAGGUAGCCUCCAAUAAGCUCUUGUGUCUGCUGCCCAACUGGCUUUAUUAAAUCCAGGUUCAACACAAAAGCAGAACAAUGUGUGUGUCUGUUCCCAGUGCAAGCUUCCCAACAGCUUGGUUUCAGGUGACAGGUUAAAUUGAUGACUCAAUGUAAUGUCCUCCUUCUGAAUCAUGUCACAAGAACUUUACAGCUUGGACCUUCCUGCCUUCCCUUCCUUGUCUCCCUUGAGAAGUAGGUGUGGAGCUGUGCUGCUGUCAAAACUCUGAACGACCCAGUGGCCUGCUGAACACAUGAGAUCGGCCGUCAGUGUGUGUUUUGAUUUUAGCACUUUAGCUUUCUACCCUUUUUUGUUGUCUUAUUUGAUUAUUAUUGUCUCUUUAUAAAAUGGAGGAAUAUUGCUAGUGUUUAGAAAGGGAACGGGAGUCUGUAUCCUAGGCUUUGUUCAGUGUGUGGCCAUGACAUUCUGGCAGUCUGAACAAUGGGUGCAAGAAACUAUUUCUCCUCUAGGAGAAAUUGUUUUGGGGGUGGGGGAGGGAAGCUUUGAGAUCACGCAAGGAAAGGGGCUAUGUAAGCAGAGGGUGCCUAGUUGUGAGUUGGACCGUGCGUAUGUUUGAUAAUGGAAACCAAAAUUUACUGUUAAUGGGUAACAUGUUCAAAAGCAUCCCAAACCCAUUUUCAGUUAAUGCUGAACUUGAAUUUGGCACCUUGGCCUCUUUUGGAAACAAAGACCUAGGAGAUCCUCCUGCAAGUAACAGGUGCCUAACUCUGAACCUUCUUGAAAACUUUUUGGGAAUCCCACUGGUUGCCCUUAUCAGUCACUGAGUGCUGGAAGGCUCUUGUUAGUCUGGCCUAAAUGUGAAUGCUUUUGGAAAACUAUAACCGAAGUAACUACUCACAGUGAGCACUUGACCCUAUCGCUGCUAUAGAUGCUACAGGAUUAUACCCAUCACUUCAUGAAUCUUCUCACAUACAUCCAUUUGGAGAUCUACAACGCCAGGAAGUACAGGCAGAACGUGGAACAGCGGUGGACAAAAUAAACAGGAUGUGGCAAUGCUGUGGUGAGGCCAGAACCCCGCUGGAGGAGGGAGAUCCUUUCUAGAUCACCUACUUGGCUUUAAAAACUCUCUCCCCGAACUCUUUUAGCUGCUGCUUUAGACAUGUCUUUAAGAAUACAACCAUCCCUGGAACUGGAAUGGUGGCACCAGGUGGCUUCAGGUGUAUGAUCUGAAGAAGAGGGAAAAGAAACUAUUUGGCUGAGAUAGCAUCAAAAGGCAGAGCUGAGCUAGGAUAAGAACCCAGGAGUCCUGCACUUUCCUGGCGCUCAGGCCGGUGCCCUGCUGUGAACAGGGAAGAACGAACACCUCUUCCACUCCUAAAAGGACUUCUGCCUUCCAUGUGCUGCCCAGGGCACUGCGUUGCUUACCUUACAAGAUCUGAUGAAGUUUCUGUCUUAGGCCCAGAUGUCGUUCUUCCCAUCCUGUAUGAGGGCCUUGUUCUCGUGUUGAUGAAAUGAAAAAGCAACCAUGACUUGAGUUAAAGUGGCAUUUUCCUGAUUGUUCGGUGCAAUGGAACUCGUCUGGUGAAACCGUCCUCCUGCCUGGAGCACGUCUGCGUGGCAGGCAAUUACCUCUGCUGUGUGCUCCCUUCACAACAGCUGCUCUGCCUCAUGUGUUUUCAUUUAAGUGGUGCUUUUUGUUUUAUCUUCUGCUGAAAUGCUCAUUUUCAGUGAAAACUACUCCAUUGUGUCUAGGCAAGAUGUGUUGUUUUAAUAGCAACUCUCAGACUGCAGUAAUGUAGAUGUUUACCCAUCCCCAGGGUGAUGUGGUCCCAAAGGCUUUGGCAAGGGAGGCCCUGCUGCAUUCUUAUUGCUUCCAUGCCUGCCUAGGGACUGUGGUGCUGCCUGUUAUUUUGAUGAACUAAGAUCUCUGGAUAGAGUAGGUAAUUCACAAAGGUGAACCUGCCCUGGGGAGGUGGCAGCCUGCUCAUGAGAAUGCCAUUUGUCAAACGUGCAAUGAGUCUUCAGCAUUGACGUGUCCUUCCUGAGGCAGUGCUGGAAAGGCCCUGGUACUACAGUGUGUGUCCUGCUUACUGCCUUCUAAGGGGCCAGACUCAGCUGUGACAGCAGCAUUCUGGAUAGAAACCCUGAGUUGCAUCCAGGUGGAAAUGG